rnacentral:rRNA from 1 species
GUCCUACGGGGGGCAGCAGUGGGGAAUAUUGCACAAUGGGGGAAACCCUGAUGCAGCGACGCCGCGUGAGUGAAGAAGUAUUUCGGUAUGUAAAGCUCUAUCAGCAGGGAAGAUAAUGACGGUAGCAGAGGAGGAAGCUCCGGCUAACUACGUGCCAGCAGCCGCGGUAAUACGUAGGGAGCGAGCGUUGUCCGGAUUUACUGGGUGUAAAGGGUGCGUAGGCGGGUAAGCAAGUCAGAAGUGAAAUCCAUGGGCUUAACCCAUGAACUGCUUUUGAAAAUGUUUAUCUUGAGUGAAGUAGAGGG